CAGGAAGAAAGCUUGCUUUCUUUGCUGGCGACCGGCGCACGGGUGAGUAACACGUAUCCAACCUGCCCUUUACUCGGGGAUAGCCUUUCGAAAGAAAGAUUAAUACCCGAUAGCAUAAUGAUUCCGCAUGGUUUCAUUAUUAAAGGAUUCCGGUAAAGGAUGGGGAUGCGUUCCAUUAGGUUGUUGGUGAGGUAACGGCCCACCAAGCCUUCGAUGGAUAGGGGUUCUGAGAGGAAGGUCCCCCACAUUGGAACUGAGACACGGUCCAAACUCCUACGGGAGGCAGCAGUGAGGAAUAUUGGUCAAUGGGCGUUAGCCUGAACCAGCCAAGUAGCGUGAAGGAUGAAGGCUCUAUGGGUCGUAAACUUCUUUUAUAUAAGAAUAAAGUGCAGUAUGUAUACUGUUUUGUAUGUAUUAUAUGAAUAAGGAUCGGCUAACUCCGUGCCAGCAGCCGCGGUAAUACGGAGGAUCCGAGCGUUAUCCGGAUUUAUUGGGUUUAAAGGGAGCGUAGGUGGACUGGUAAGUCAGUUGUGAAAGUUUGCGGCUCAACCGUAAAAUUGCAGUUGAUACUGUCAGUCUUGAGUACAGUAGAGGUGGGCGGAAUUCGUGGUGUAG
rnacentral:rRNA from 1 species